CCUACGGGAGGCAGCAGUGGGGAAUAUUGCGCAAUGGGCGAAAGCCUGACGCAGCGACGCCGCGUGAAGGAAGAAGGCUUUCGGGUUGUAAACUUCUUUUGUCAGGGAAGAGUAGAAGACGGUACCUGACGAAUAAGCCACGGCUAACUACGUGCCAGCAGCCGCGGUAAUACGUAGGUGGCAAGCGUUGUCCGGAUUUACUGGGUGUAAAGGGCGUGUAGCCGGGUUGACAAGUCAGAUGUGAAAUCCUGCGGCUUAACCGCAGAACUGCAUUUGAAACUGUUGAUCUUGAGUACUGGAGAGGCAGAUGGAAUUCCUAGUGUAGCGGUGAAAUGCGUAGAUAUUAGGAGGAACACCAGUGGCGAAGGCGGUCUGCUGGACAGCAACUGACGGUGAGGCGCGAAAGCGUGGGGAGCAAACAGGAUUAGAUACCCUAGUAGUC
rnacentral:rRNA from 1 species